AUUGAACGCUGGCGGCAGGCUUAACACAUGCAAGUCGAGCGAGCGGCGGACGGGUGAGUAAUGACUGGGAAACUGCCUGAUGGAGGGGGAUAACUACUGGAAACGGUAGCUAAUACCGCAUACCAUCAGAUGUGCCCAGAUGGGAUUAGCUAGUAGGUGGGGUAAUGGCUCACCUAGGCGACGAUCCCUAUCUGGUCUGAGAGGAUGACCAGCCACACGGGAACUGAGACACGGUCCAGACUCCUACGGUAGGCGGCAGUGGGGAAUAGUGCACAAUGGGCUCAAGCCGGAUGCAGCCAUGCCGCGUGUAUGAAGACGGCCUUCGGGUUGUAAAGUACUUUCAGGCGGGAGGCGUUACUGACAGAAGAAGCACCGGCUAACUCCGUGCCAGCAGCCGCGGUAAUAC
rnacentral:rRNA from 1 species